AGGGAUGUAGCCCAGUGGUAGAGCAUUUGCCUAGCAUGCACGAGGCUCUGGGUUCAAGACCCUGCACCACAA
rnacentral:tRNA from 1 species